GAGUGAACGCUGGCGGUAGGCCUAACACAUGCAAGUCGAACGGCAGCACAGUAAGAGCUUGCUCUUACGGGUGGCGAGUGGCGGACGGGUGAGGAAUACAUCGGAAUCUACUUUUUCGUGGGGGAUAACGUAGGGAAACUUACGCUAAUACCGCAUACGACCUACGGGUGAAAGCAGGGGAUCUUCGGACCUUGCGCGAUUGAAUGAGCCGAUGUCGGAUUAGCUAGUUGGCGGGGUAAAGGCCCACCAAGGCGACGAUCCGUAGCUGGUAUGAGAGGAUGAUCAGCCACACUGGAACUGAGACACGGUCCAGACUCCUACGGGAGGCAGCAGUGGGGAAUAUUGGACAAUGGGCGCAAGCCUGAUCCAGCCAUACCGCGUGGGUGAAGAAGGCCUUCGGGUUGUAAAGCCCUUUUGUUGGGAAAGAAAAGCAGCAGGUUAAUACCCCGCUGUUCUGACGGUACCCAAAGAAUAAGCACCGGCUAACUUCGUG
rnacentral:rRNA from 1 species